rnacentral:lncRNA from 1 species
UUUUUUUAAUUAAAAUGGGGUCUAGUAUCAUGAUCCACUAAAAUUCAAACAGUCCUUAACUCGGCCCAAAUAAAAAUUGGACUCUUAUUUGAAAAUUAUUAAAAGAAAUUGAAAGGAUAUUUCUAGUUUUCAAAUAAACAAUGAGAAAUUCUAUGCAUACACGUGUCAAUUAUUUUUUUCACUAUAGCCGCAUUAAUGAUUGAACUAAAAAUAUACUCCACUGUUUUUCAUUUUCAAACCUUGCUACUCCGCCUACUUUCUAACUUGAAAAAAAAAGAGAGAAAAAGAAAAAAAGAAAAAGAAGCCCCAAUUUGUAAUGUUGGUGUCAAAAAAUGUGAAGUAAUAGACAUACAAUUAAAACUACAGAAGAAAUUAAAAGCACUUAGAAAUUUAUAAUAAUAGAAUGGCAUCAAAUUUUAUUACCAAAAUCACGACUACAUCCAUUCCAAAUUCCACAUGAAAUUAGGCAUUUUCAUUUAAGAACGAUGUGGUGGAGGAGGAUCGUGACGCGGAUUGGGCCCAACAGGGGGAUAAUCAGCAAUUGUCGCCAAAUCCAAUUCUUCAUUAGAUUCCCUUCUAACAUCAUCAUCUAUCUCCUACCCCAAAAAAAAAAACCCUACAGAUUUUAGUUAUCAGAAGUUAAUAGCUGUUAAUUCCACCAAAAUGUUAAAAAUAGAAGAAAAUAAGAUAUGAACCUGAGAGUGGUUUUGCAUGGCUACAUCUUCAUGGUUUAGAUUUGGUAUGCGAAGUGCAGAGGUUGAGAGAAUUUGAGAGCACAGUAAAAUAGCUACAAGAGUAGAGAGACAGAUUAUUUGGGUUGUUUUCAUUGUGAAAAUAUAUGGAGAGAAAACAAAUGUUUGGGCAAUACAUAUAUAUAUACAUAAUAUAAUAGGGGAGGGAGAGAGAGAGAGAGACGUCAUCAGUCACUUAACUCGUAACGCUCCAUCAGUAGUGUGAAAGGAAAGGAUUAAUCCUUAUCUGCAUUUCUCGACAUAGCUAUGUUGAUUGUUGACCUUGUACAGAUCAGUUUAAUUUGACAAAGAAAGUUUGUGUCAAGAAAGUAAUUUCUCAACGCAUCACAACAAAAUUACGGAUGAAUAUAAUUAUUAGAACAAUCAAUGCAUUAGUUGUCCGAA